rnacentral:lncRNA from 1 species
CCUAAACCAAAGCCUGGGCACCCCUGAAGUCCUGAAGCCUCAUGCCUGGCUUUCCCUGUUGUCUUCCAGUAGCAUCCGCCUACUGGUUUCUACUAGCAGGCGCCUACCGCCACUGCCAUAAUACUGAUGACUGUCCGGUGUUGGGACACCAGUUAACCCCACUUUCCUCAGGGAAAGUCUGAGGCAGAAGGAAAAGUUUCUUGCAUUAACCUGUGGGCGUUAGGCAUCUCAGUCCUGGUGCCUUGCAGCUCUCAAGCUCAGCCCCACGGUCACUGGCAGGUUCCAUGCCUUGGGCAGGAUGCUGGGCCCAGCCAGGACAGCUGAAGGAAAUGGUGGAAGCAGAGAGACUCCUGGCACAGCACCUGCCUGCAGGUGAAGGCAGGAAGAUCCUGGGAAGACAGGUGAGCUGACAUUACCUGAGGGGGAGGAAAGCUUGCCCUGUGUCCCUGCCAUUCUGCGGUGUUCAGACGUUUCCACACGCACCGUCAUUUGAUUUUUAUAGCUUCCCUGUGUCAUUGAGGUUUUACUAUCACCACUUUUCCAGAAGAGAAAGAUAUAUGGGGAGAGGAGGUGAGCUGCUCGAGGCCACACAUCAGGAAGCAAGCUGGCACCACAAGCCAGGCCCCCUGACCCUAUCCAGUCACUGGGCCAGUCAACCCCCGUUCCUUUGGCCCCACAGUUGGCCCUGAGUUCCCUCUUUUCUCAGGACUCCUUGAUUUUGUUCAGUGAUAAACGACAUGUCACCCAGUUUCCCUGAGUCCACGUCUCAUGGAGAAGCAUGAGAAAAGGAGAAUAAGGAGGCCAUUGAAGCAGUCCAGUUGAGAAUUCAUUCACUUAUUCAUUCAGUAAAUAGUCUGAACACCUGUUAUGUAAAAGGCACUGUCGAAGGUGUUAGGGAUACAGCAGAAGACAAAAAAAUCCUGGCCCCUGACACCAGAGAGUUUACAUUCUGGUGGAAGAGAAAGCCAGUGAAGGCGCGAGUAAGUGAGGUGAUUACAGAGCACAGCAAGUGCUGUGGGAGAAAAAAAUACGGUGCUUUCAUAGUGGCAGGGAUGGGGGCGGGGAGGGGGGAGGUACUCGAGAGAAGUUGGGCAAGGAACAUCUGAGCCCUGAAUAAGUCAGCCGAAUUUCCAGGCUGGGGGAACAACAUGUUCAAAGCCCAGUGUCUGAAUAACAUGACGAGGCCUGAACUGGCUUAGUAAGUGGGAGUGGAGAGGAGUGGAUUCGUGAAUACUUACAAGGAAGGACAACAGGAUAGAGUGAAUGGAGUGGCACCUUAGCUGGAAGGAGGUGCCCGAGUUAGGGAGCUCUUUGAGCGUGAGGGUUUUAGCGACAGGCCUUUCGCCUCUAGGGGGCGCUCUUCCCAUCUGUACAAUAGGUUAAGCAGAUGAUAUAACCACCAAGGUUGAUGCUGCUGCUGCUGCUAAGUCGCUUCAGUCGUGUCCGACUCUGUGCGACCCCAGAGACGGCAGCCCACCAGGCUCCCCCGUCCCUGGGAUUCUCCAGGCAAGAAUUCUGGAGUGGGGU